GGCAAAAUUCCGCAAAAAGCUUCUAAACUACACAAGAGGCCCCCUCGUGCAGAUCAUGUGGUCGAAGGACAUAGUCAUUUCCAACAUAACUUUGCGUGAUUCUCCUUUUUGGACACUGCAUCCUUAUGAUUGCAAAAAUGUAACUAUCUCGAACGUGACUAUUCUGGCCCCCGUUUCCGAAGCUCCCAACACUGACGGAAUAGAUCCAGAUUCAUGCGAGGAUAUGUUGAUAGAGAAUUGUUAUAU
rnacentral:misc_RNA from 1 species